CUGACACUAUGACACUAAUGGGGCGAUAGCUCAAGCCAGGGAAUCAAGGUCUCAUCAAGAUCCGAACUCAUAUGAGAGACAGAACCACAUGAUUGAGAAUCAUGUAUAAUGGUGACGUCAAUAUUCUCAAGGUUGCUUCUAUGGAUAACAUAUAGAUAUCCAUUGCCUAGGCCUACUACUCAGCUAUUUUUGAAAUGACUACAAAAGAGGUAUCAUCACUGAUGACCAAGCUGAU
rnacentral:lncRNA from 1 species